GACUUUGUCAGCUACUUACUUUAAAAAACAUUUGAGAAAGCCAGAAAGCAGAGGGGAGGAAGCUCCACCGUCAUGAGAAUGGGAAGCAGAGGCAGCGGCAGCGUGCACAGACAUCCUUUGAAGGUUUGUUAUAAACACAGAAACUGAUGUCUGGGAAAAGUUUUAACAGGCACACCUUUAACAUUCAUUUUCGACCCACUGAAGAGGAGAUGAGCUUAUUGGCUGGUGCACCUUGACAGCAUGUAGGUGGAAAACAGGACAUUCAGUCUUUGGUGCAGAGUGGGAGAUACUUAUGAACCAUUUUAGCACAUUUCAGGACCAUGUAACAAAAUCAACACUGCAUUGAAGUGGCAUCAGGAAGAUCCAUCCACAGAAGCAAUGUCUGCUAUGCAGGAAGCAGCUUCAUCAAGGUGGAAGCAGGUCUGUGCUUCCAGGCUGGCCAGUAUCGUUCAUGAAAACAGCACAUUGUGGCUGACUAUGGUUUGAAGAAACAAAGGAAGCCAAAGAAAACAAAAAAUGCUAACGGAGAAUUUAAUCCAUCUCUCAGAGGUGGAAGAAGUUUCAUUUGAAUUGCUCCCUGUUCUUUUACUCUUCUUUCCCCCGAAAGGGAGUGUGGUAGAUUGAGUUUAGAAGACAGCCCUGAACAUGUAUGGUUCAGCCCUUUUGCUCCAUUUUGUCUUGGAGAAGGGCUGGAUUCUGUGCUAUUCUCCUGUGCUUUAAGUUUUGUAGCUACGGGAUUUAUCUAACACAGCCUGACUGGUUUGGAAAGUCUGUCUUAUUUUGAUGUUUUCUGUUACCUAGCCCGCUAACAUUUUUUUCAAGAAAUAUAGCUAGUAUUGUCUCCCUCUCUCUGACUCCUAUUUCUAUUUCUUUGUUGGUUCUAAGCAUGGGUGGUCAAGAGAUGUAUUGAUUUAUCACGUUCCUUCAAACCCUUACACAGUUGUACUGAAAAAGGAUAGGAGUUUUCAUUGGGAUGGAAGUCCUGUGUGUAGUUACGCAGAUUGCCCUCAUUCAGACGCUGCUGGGAAAACCAUAGAUUUUUGUUCCUCUAACAAUGUUGUUGUCAUCUCUGUACAGGAAGAAACUUAGGAUGCUUUAUGUGAUGAUAUUGAAAUUUUUACAAUAGAGACAUGCAAAUAUGGGCAAAACAGUUGCUCAAAAACUGAACACCAAUGGAAAUGUCAUCUCAAACUUUCUGGAAUUUUGAAUUUCAGUGAGCUAUUAGAGAAAGGGAGAGGGAGAGCAAAAUACACAGUAAGAAACAUUUGCAACAAACUGGGAUCUGCUUUUUCCUAAGUUAUGUGCUGUCUGCUUAGUAAUUUCCAUAAGCAUCACAUCAGUCCGUGAUUAAAUACAUUUCAAAUCUCAGAAGCCAUACGAUUUUUUUUAAAGUCAUACAGCUACUGAGGGGCAGAGUUAACAUUCAAAUCCAGUAAUGAUCUUUCCAUUAUUUGAUGCAGAUGGUAGGAGCAUCUCAGAGUCUCUUCAACUUCAUGCUCAUUUUAUCACGGUGUCUUAAGAUGAGAUUAUUUACCUGUCGUUUACGUUUUUCAUCCUGAUGGCAAAUAGUAACAGCUUUUUUUCUUCUCAGAGAAUAUGCUAUUACAAAAGCAAAUAAAAUAUUAUAAACAUAAAGCAAAAAAUGAGGGAGAAGAAUGUUCUACUUUAGACAAAAUGGCUUUGCUCAAAAUUUACACCUAGGUUAGUGGGAAUACUGAUGGCUGUUUCUUGUCCCUUUUGUUUAUUAAUGGAAUUGGAGUAAGGAGCUACUGGGGAGUUGAGGUGGUCACAUUUAGCAUAUAUAGUCUAACCAUUUUUAAGUGUUCUUUUUUGUUGUCUUUGCUAGUUUUUUUCUACUUUCUGUUAAAUCAUUCUCAAGAGAUAGUUUUAAACAAGUUAGUCUCAGAGAGAUUCCACUAUUUUAUGUAAUUUUUGUCUUUUCAUAUCACAUUAAGAUGAUGUCCCACUCAUGAUGUAUAUUGGAUUAACUAAGAACAUAUGCCAUAUGGCGUCAUUGACAGACAAUGUUUAUGACAGUUGAUUAGUAACCUCACUUCAAUUGAUGCAGUGUAUACACUAAUUCCCUUCAGACUCUGAACAGCCAAAAACAGGCAGAAGAAGCAAGGCAUUUAACAAAAAUUAUGAAAUUAUUCCUCUUAAGAAAAAAAGUCACACGUAGUAAUAAAAAUUACCAUUAACAUUUCUCUUAUUUGAAGGAAACAUAUUUUUUGUUUUCUCCAUUUUAAAUAAAAUUCCAAUCUCAUAGAUUGUAUGUACAUUAUAAGAAAUUUUUAACCACUCACAGAGCACUCAUUUUACAUCUCAUGUGUUCUGUUAAAGAGAGGAGAAAAGUCAGUCUCACUUCUUUGUCCCCCUUUAACAGCGUAAAGAACCCAUGGUGAAUUGCACACUGACAGCACAGGAAUAUCCAUUCUGUCAUUUCCAGAAUAUUGACUCACUGCAGUCCUCUAGCCUAUGUGCAUUCCUGAUUCGUGUCCACAGUGCUCCAUGACUGUGCCAUCCUCCACACGUUCAUUUCAAAAAACCCAGUUCUUACAGGCAGGCUUCAAAAUUGAAAAGCCAGAAACUUAAGCAAAGAAGAAAAAUUUAAGUUGAAAGAACUGUUCAUCAAAUUCAAUGCAAUACGAACUCUUUGAGGAGUUAUUUUCAACUGCUGUGUUUAAAAAUACCACUUUUCCCACAGUUAGUAGUUAGGAUUUCAUCAUAAAAUACUCCCAUAAAAACUAUUUAAUUUUCUAGUACAGGGAGGGAGGAUUUGAUCCCUUGUUAAACAUUUUAUGGGAAAGUCUAAAAGUGCUUUCAAUUAUUUAUCGAAUUGAAAUCUAGGCCUUGGAAACUGCUGGCAUCACACACACACACAUAAUAUUAUCAGCCCACUGAGUGCCAUUAGGUCAUAAAGCGCUGCUGUAGCAACAUCUCUGGUACAGCUGCUGGUGCUCAUGCAACUUUUACUACAGUUAUAAAGUCAUUUAUUACAUUUUCUUUAUGAUGCUAAUGCAUUGCAGUCUGUUACUUUAUUGUUCCCAGCGUGAUAAAGACUGAAAUGUAUGAUAUUGUGCAAAAAAAGUUUACAUAUAUAUAUAUAUAUACACACACACACAGCCCUACUAACAUAGCCUGUUGCAUUAAAAAGCUCUUAGAUAAACUUAAAAGGUCAAUAAAAAUAUUAGCAGGGAACAUCAAAAAUGAAAUCGUUUUGUGGUACACUUGUGUCAUUUUGGUUCAUUGUUCCCCAUAGAAUUGUUUUAAGUCAUGCUUUGUCAAAAUAUCCAAAGGAUGAUACGAGUAUCUUACUAGGUUUGUUUUUUUCAUUAGAAUGUCAUUGUGUUAGAAAAUUUUUGCAAUUCACUAAGGGGAACAAUAACUAUGUAAUUUCCAAAUAAUCAUAUGAAAAGGAACAAAGUCAUUAAAAGAUAAUAAUGACCGUGGACCCAGAGGAAUCCAUAAUUGAUAAUUACAUCUUGUUCAAAUUGUCUAAACUUAACUCUCCCCAUGAUACGAUUGUACAUAAAGAAGAUGCAGUUUUCUAUUGAGGAAAAAUAAUCAAUUACAUCAAUUAACUGCUACCCCGUGCUAAAGCUUAUUUAGCAGUUGACACCUACAGCACUAUAACUUGGAGGGGAAAUUCAUUCCCAGACCACAGUCCUUUUGGGUGGCUGCUUCUUGGUGUUUGCAGGAGAGCUGCCACUGCUGUUGUUCAUUUCUGCUUUUCUGCCUUCACUUUCUCUCGCCCUUUUUGUUUUGUUUUGUUUUGUUUGAGAUGGAGUCUCACUCUGUCACCCAGGCUGGAGUGCAGUGGGACGAUCUCGGCUCACUGCAACCUCCGCCUCCUGGGUUCACACCAUUCUCCUGCCUCAGCCUCCCGAGUAGCUGGGACUACAGGCGCCUGCCACCAUGCCCGGCUAAUUUUUUGUAUUUUUUUUAGUGCAGACGGGGUUUCACCAUGUUAGCCAGGAUGGUCUCGAUCUCCUGACUUCAUGAUCCGCCUGCCUCAGCCUCCCAAAGUGCAGGGAUUACAGGCGUGAGCCACCACUCCCGGCCUCUCUCACUCUUUUAGGAGGGGUGGCAGGGGGAGAAGAUUAUUCCAAGAAUGCGAAGUCCAAGGGAAACAAUCCUUUUUAAAAUCAGUUAUUAAAGCUGGAUCUUCUAUUUAUAUAUUUUUGUGAUAUUUGAUUUUCCCCAAAAAGCAGUUAGAAUCAAGAGUUGUGUAAUAUUUAAGGAAAAGCUUUACAUUGUGUGUUUUUUUAAUUCUACUAAAUUUUAUUCUAUUCAAUAAUUUUAUCUAGAUAAUUUAAAUGCAUUUACAGUCUACUAUUGAUAGGGACAGAAGGCAGAGAAAUUCUGGGAGGUUGAGUCCCCAGCUAGGGCCCCACCCUCAAGCUGAAAAGCCUGAUACCAUGGCCCAAAGUGAGAACUUACACCCCUGUUUUCCCACCAGUCAUAGCCUGUCCCAUCCCCCAUUCUGUCCCCAUAAAAACCCCAGGCUCAGCUAACAGAGAAGCAGCUGGAUGUCAGAGACUAUGGUUGGAUGUUAGAGAGAAGCAGCUUAACUUCAGAGGGAUGUCUUAAUGGCAUAGCUUUAGGAGAGGAGUCUGGCCAGGAAGCUUGGCUUCAGGGGAAGAUUACCUUCCUACUCUGUCCUCUUCUCAGCAACCCUUCCCACUGAGAGCCUCUUGCAUCAGCAAUAAAAUCCCCUACAUUUACCAUCUUCAAUUCAUUCAUGUGUCCUCAUCCCUCCUGGACACCAGACAAGAACUCGGGUGCCAUGAGUGUGGGUACAAAAGGCUGUCACACUGACCCUGCACUGAGCUGUUAACAGUUAAACCAUCCACAGAUAGUAGAGCUAAAAGGACAUUGUAACUCUCCUUCUGGGGCUUCAGGGGUCGCAGCAUGCCCCCCAGAUGCUGCUGCAGGUCCAGAAUGUAGUUUGCUCCUGCUGGCUCCCAAAAGCACUCGCCCUGGCCCCUGCACUCACUCACCCACAUGCUCCCCUUCUCGCGAGGGGUGGAACACUGUGGGUUCCAAUGAGUGGAGUUCACCCCUGUUGGCACCUAAGUGGCCAGCUAGUCCCAGCACCCAUGCACUCCAGUUCCCGCCCAUGAACGAGUCAGGGAACUUUCCUGCUGCAUUAUCAUCAUGGUUUUUUGUUUGUUUCCUUGUUUGUUUGUUUUGAGACAGAGUCUCGCUCUGUUGCCCAGGCUGGAGUGCAGUGGCACGACCUCAGCUCACUGCAAGCUCCGCCUCCCGGGCUCACGCCAUUCUCCUGCCUCAGCCUCCCGAGUAGCUGGGACUAUAGGCGCCCCCAUCACGCCCGGCUAAUUUUUUUUUAUUUUUAGUAGAGACGGGGUUUCACCAUGGUCUGGAUCUCCUGACCUCGUGAUCCGCCCACCUCGGCCUCCCAAAGUGCUGGAAUUACAGGCGUGAGCCACCACGCCCAGCCAUUAUCAUCAUGGUUAAGUUAAAAAUUGUAAAGUAAUAGGCUAGCAAAAUUUUAAUAAUGGGUGUAAGCAUUACUAUACUACCAAAUAUGACUUAAUAGUGACAUUGAAUUUGGAGUUGCAUAGGCUCUUAGAGUGGUUUACCUUACUCUCUCAUUUCACUAAGAACUAAGAAAGUAUCAGUAAGAUUUUUAAAUGUGGCUAUGUACUAUGUACAUCAUUUCUCUCAACCUGCUUUUAGUCUCAAUGUGAGCACAGAGGCAGAAAAGGAACCAUUCUCUUAAAGUCUAGAGCUCCUCACAGCGAAGAAAAGUGAAGUAAUUAGAAAGUUUGGCACCUUCUUCUCAUGGCUGUAAUGUUCAGAAGCAGCACGGUGAGAAUGGUUCUUGCGUCUCCAAUUGCAAUUUGAUUAUAAACAAAGUAAAUUAAGUCUGCUGGCCUUGCAUGUUUAUCUCAAACCACUGGGAUCAGUAUUCUAAAUUUUGUCUUAUAAAUUCUUACUCAUGAAAUACAGGUUGGUGAAAAUAAGACAGAACUCUCAACAUGAGAUCUGCCCUCUUAAGUAUUUAAAGUGUACAUUAUUAUUGACUAAAGGUACAAAUUUGUACAGCAGAUCUCUAGAGCAUAUUCAUCUUGCUUGACUGAAAUUGUAAGCCCCUGAUUAGGAAGUAACUCCCCAUCUCUCCAAACCCCAGCCCCUUGCCACCACCAUUCUGCUCUUUGAUGCUAUGAAUUUGAGUAUUUUAGAUACCUCAUUAAAGUGGAAUCAUGUAGCAUUUGUCUUUCUAUAACUGGAUUAUUUCACUUAGCAUAAUGUCCUCAAGCUUCAUCUAUGUUAUCAUAUUUGGCAGAUUUCCUUUGUUUUAAAGGUUCAAAGGCACACCCCUCUAUGCAUAUGCCCCAGUUUUAUAUCCGUUUGUCUGGGGACGGGCACUGAGAUUGUUUCCACAUGUUGGCUAUUGCAAAUAGUGCUGCCAUACACAUAAGGGUCUUAUAGAUCUUCAAGAUCCUGAUUUCAAUGCUUUUGGAUAAAUAUGCAGAAGUGGGGUUACUUGAAUCAUAUAGUAAUCCUAUUUUUAUUUUUUUGAAGAAUCUCCACACUGUUUUCUAUAACAGUUGUACCACUUUGCAUUUCUACCAACUGUGUGCGAGGGUUCCCAUUUCUCUACAUCCUAGCCAGUACGUUCCCUCUUUUGACAAUACAUAUUUUGACAGCUGAGAGGUGAUAUUUCAUUGCGGUUUGAAUUUGCAUUUACAUGAUGAUUUAGUGAUGUUGAGCACCUUUUCACAGGCCUGUUGGCCAUUUUUUCAUCUUCUUUGGAGAAAUAUCUAUUAAGUCCUUUACCCUUUUUUUAAGUUGGGUUAUUAUUUUUUUACUAUUGAGUUGUAGGAAUUCCUUAUAUAUUUUGGAGAUUAACCCCUUAUUAGAUAUAUGGUUUGCAAAUAUUUUCUCUCGUUCCAUAAAUUGCCUUUUCACUGUCUGAUUUACAGACACUCCCUGACUUGUUAUGAGGUUAUGUCCCAAUGAAGCCAUCCAAAUUGAAAAUAUCCUAAGUCAAAAAUGCAUUCAAUACCCCAAUAAAUCGAUUGUAAAGUCAAAAUUGUAAGUGAAAUCAUCAUAAGCUAGGGGCCAUCUGUAGUCCCUUUGCUGUGUAGGAGCUUUUCAAUUUGAUGUAGUCCCACUGUAUUUUUGCUUUUUGUAUCUGUGCUUUUGGUGUCAUAUCCAUAAAAUCAUUGUCAAGACCAAUGUCCUGAAGGUGUUUGCCUGUUUUCUUUUAGGAGUUUUACAGUUUCAGGCCUUAUGUUUAAUUCUUUAAUCCAUUUUGAGAUGAAUUUUAUGUAUGGUGUGAGAUAUCAAUCAAAUAUCACUCUUUUGCAUGUGGAUAUCCAGAUCUCCCAACACCAUUUGUUGAAAAGAAUACCUUUGCUCAUUGUGUAUUCUUUGCAACCUUGUCAAAGAUCAGUUGACCAUAUGUGUGUGGGUUUAUUUCUGAGCUCUUUAUUCUUGUUCCAUUUGUCUAUGUGUCUGCCUUUAAGCCAGUACCAUGCUGUCUUGAUUACUAUAGAUUUGUCAUAUAUUUUGAAAUAAGGAACAAUAAUGCCUCCAGCUCUGUUCUUGUUUCUCCAAAUUGAUCUGGUUAUUUAUGGUCUUUCAUGGUUCCAUAUGGAUUUUUUAAUGUUUUUCUAUUUCUAUAUAAAAUGACAUUGGGAUUUUGAUACAUAUUACAUUGAAUCUGUAGAUUGCUUCGGGUAGUAUUAAUAAUUUAACAAUAUUGUCUUAAUGAAUCAGAAUCUUUCCAUUUUGUGUCUGUUUUAGUUACAUUUCAUCAAGCUUGUAUGUAAGUCAAUAUCCACUUUUUUUUACACUACUAAGAUCAUUAUUGUAAUUUAGGGAACAAAGAAAAAUUUAUUAGAC
rnacentral:lncRNA from 1 species